rnacentral:rRNA from 1 species
GACGAACGCUGGCGGCGUGCUUAACACAUGCAAGUCGAACGAAGAGCGAUGGAAGCUUGCUUCUAUCAAUCUUAGUGGCGAACGGGUGAGUAACGCGUAAUCAACCUGCCCUUCAGAGGGGGACAACAGUUGGAAACGACUGCUAAUACCGCAUACGAUCUAAUCUCGGCAUCGAGGAUAGAUGAAAGGUGGCCUCUACAUGUAAGCUAUCACUGAAGGAGGGGAUUGCGUCUGAUUAGCUAGUUGGAGGGGUAACGGCCCACCAAGGCGAUGAUCAGUAGCCGGUCUGAGAGGAUGAACGGCCACAUUGGGACUGAGACACGGCCCAGACUCCUACGGGAGGCAGCAGUGGGGAAUCUUCCGCAAUGGACGAAAGUCUGACGGAGCAACGCCGCGUGAGUGAUGACGGCCUUCGGGUUGUAAAGCUCUGUUAAUCGGGACGAAAGGCCUUCUUGCGAAUAGUGAGAAGGAUUGACGGUACCGGAAAAGAAAGCCACGGCUAACUACGUG